rnacentral:rRNA from 1 species
UACGAAGGGGGCUAGCGUUGUUCGGAUUUACUGGGCGUAAAGCGCGUGUAGGCGGGUCGUUAAGUUGGGGGUGAAAGCCCGGAGCUCAACUCCGGAACUGCCAUCAAAACUGGCGACCUGGGGCAUGUCAGAGGCGAGUGGAAUUGCGAGUGUAGAGGUGAAAUUCGUAGAUAUUCGCAGGAACACCAGUGGCGAAGGCGACUCGCUGGGACAUUGGUGACGCUGAGACGCGAAAGCGUGGGGAGCAAACAGG